rnacentral:lncRNA from 1 species
AGAGAAGAUUAUGUCAGCAUCUAUAAAAAUCUAUAUUUGAUUGAAUCAAUAGCUAUUUUAUGUGGGGAUGGCUAAUCAGAUGUCUCUUUUUGCCUCUAAAAGCUUCUCCCAUUGUUUCACAGCCCCCUUUGGAGGAUCAAACUCAGGACCUUCAGCUUUAGAGACUGAUGUGUUGCCUACUGUGCUAAGAAGCAAUUUUAGGGAAAGAUUGGACACGGAAAAGCUGAUGCAACAGAAGGACUGUUUUGAGGAGCAGCAUGAUUCCAGAAAGGCCCCAAAGAAGAAGAUACCAGCAAGAGAAGAUAUCCUCAGAAAUCAGACAAAUGCAUAAUGAGACUGAAUUCUUGGAAAUAAUGGACGGGACAGUGGGAAUUAGGUCACUGAUUCAUGUCUCUUCCAUGUACCAAUAUAUUAUUUUGUAUAUGUUGUAUGAUAAUGGCUAUUUGUAAAUGUAUCUAUUAGUAAUUAUCAUGUUGAGACACUCAAGGAUCAUAGUAAGAUCCUCUAUGUCAGUAAUGGUGAACCUAUGGAACAGGUGCUAAAGAUGGUACACAGAGCACUCUUUAUGGGCCCUUGGCCACCUCCCUCUCCCAGUCAGAGAUUGUUAUUAAAAAGACAGAGAGACUCAUCUGGAGCUGCUCCCCUUCCCCUCUCCACUAUGUCUGAUGACAUUUUUCACAUCCCCUAUGCGUCUGUCCAGCAGCCCAAUGGAAGCUCAGAGGGGGUAAGGUGAGUGGCUCAUAGACAGCAGAGCUGGAGGGAAGCAGAGUGCUCAGGCCACUCCCCUCUCUCUAUAUAUAGUCGCUGAGGACACUCCUCACUUCAUUCACCCCUCCAACUAGCAGUCCAAUGGGAGCACUUCUUCCUUCCCCUGUGUGGGGUAAGGGUGGGAUGGGUUGUACCCAAUACUCAUGGUGAGGGGAAGGGGCACACAGCCUGCUGUCUCGGGGUGGGAGUGGGAUGGGGGGGCAGCACACCAUCUGUAAAGGUUUUGCCAUCACUGCUUUAUGUAAUAUAUAGUACCUUCAGAUUCUUAUGUAUCCUGGUGAAUUUGUUCUGAAAUUUCCAGAUAUGGUGACUCAAUCUCCCAAGGAAUCAUAUGGAAGAUUGCUUAUUUUUUAUAAACUGUAUUAAUCUCAUGUCAGGGACCUGGAUUAGAGGGGCUCCAAUCAGUCUGUUGACUUUUUAAUUCCCUUUGUUCUUAGGAACGCCUUUGAAUAUUCUCUUCCUAUUUCUCCCAUGGCUGGCAUUUCUAACCUUAAGAGGUCUCACCUGUCUGGCAAGCUUUGAAUCCUGUUGGCUUUGAAUGGCUACCUAGCCCACCACACUCUCCUUUCUUUUAAAAUGCUAUCAUUUGAAUCUGACUGCUAGUUUUUUCAAACACAGUUGUUUAAUAGUUCAAGUAAUAAAAGGGGGGGAUAGAUUUGUGGAAAAAGGAAA